CCGCAGCCAUGUCCUCUUCCUGUUUGUUUUGUAGAGCAGACACUCCAUAAACGCUCAUAGCAGAAAUGAAUAAAUGGAUGAGUCUCAUUAUCACAUUGGCGGUGACAAUCUUCUGAUUGCUCAGAGGCUCCAGAAUUGGAUGUGUUUCUGGUACUGGAGGAUCUACUUAGGAGGCAGUACUUCUGAGAGUCUUCAUGGACCAUGGUGCUGCACGAGGUGCUGUGUUUGCAGAGUUUUUUUUUGCCCUUGAAGAGCACUUACGACUGGAGAGCAAGACACAUGCCGACACGCAGAAGCUGACGGGCUUGCGGCCACGUGGGAAAGUCCUCGGACGAGCUGUCUGCUUGCAGGGAGGUGUCUGCGGCUCAGGCACUUAAAGAAGACCCAAAAUUCAGUGAGCAAGUCCCCAUCAACCACCAGAAACAGAAAACAGGUGUGUUGUGCUGAGAGUCACAUGACCAAGGCUGGGCGGACUCCCCUCCCUGAGACGCCAAGAUAAACACACUCACAGCAUCGCCAUGGAAAUGGUGGCUUACAGUUCAAAUGCUCAGGAGGGGAUAGGAAAAAAAAUCGGGACAGCACCAUAGAGAACAAUUUUCCUUAUCAACUUCUGUGCUCCUCCCAAGGGCAGAGGACCUGCAAAUUACAUCACGGCCUCUUGAGUAGUUUCCACAAGGACCGAUGUUGAUGGGGAUCUAGAAAAACAAAGGCAAGCCGUGCCCCAGACAAGUCUCCAUCUCAGAAGCGGAAGUCCUUGGCAUAAGCCAACCAUAUUGGCAAAGCCCUCGCUGGGUGAAAAGUGCAAAGCGAGGACAAAGAGAUGAUGAGAAAACCAAGUCUGAACAUUUGCUUGGACAAGUUAGAGUCAAGGAGACAGAACUGGAGCUGAAAAAAGAAAUCCAAUGUUAACAGGAGGUGUCCAGUGUGUUAACGGCUGUUGUCCAAUAUGGUAGCUGCUGGCCACGUGUGGCUAUUGAACCCUGAAACGUGGCUAAUGCAACUGAGAAACUGGACUUUUAGUUUAAUUUAAUUUUAAUCAACC
rnacentral:lncRNA from 1 species